rfam:Ailuropoda melanoleuca scaffold2322_55, whole genome shotgun sequence.
GCCUGGUUGGCACAGCGGUUAAGCGUCUGCCUUCGGCUCAGAGCAUGAUCCCGGCGUUAUGGGUUCGAGCCCCACAUCAGGCU